GAGAGAGGAUCUUCCUUCUCCUAAAGCCUCCUAAACCUCACGGCCCACACCCAGUCUCUCCGACGUGAAGGGACGCUGUCCUAGGGGCGCCGGGGAGCCCAGUGCAGUCUUCCUGAGGCAAAUGUGCCGCACAAGGUUUUCCCCAUCUGGGAUCGGGGAGCAACUGAAGGCCUGGCUGCUGGAAUGCUCCUGAAACACAUUAGGCUCUCAACAUUGAUAAUACUUGAAUCAUUGUGGGUGACCUUGGGCUUCUGGAGCUUUAAGGAACAAAGUUAAGUGACACAUCCCGUUACAGAAAAAGGUAUAUUCUGUAUAUCCUAUAUUCUAUAUAACUAUGGACUAGUCACCCUCCUUAUUCUGAUUAGCAUUCAAAAGCAUCACCACAAUACCUCUCAUACUCUUUUGACGCGGCAUAGCACUGGAUAUAUCUGUUCUGUUUCAUUGUUGGACCUUUAGCAAACACUUACUGAUUUCCUCCAACGUGCCACGUUCUGUGCUUUCUGUUCUUGAAGCCACAUUCAGUAGAAGAUACAAACAUGGAACAAAUAAAGAUGGUAUUAUGUUGUUAAGUGUUAAAUUAAAGAAAUAAACAGAGAGCAAAAAGGAGGAAGGUACAAACUCUGCCCAGAAGAGGGAAGAGAAAGUAGGGAAGGCUUCCCUAAGGAGGAAGCAUUGGGAAUGGCUCCUUGCUUUUAGGGACCCUGUCUGGGACUGUAACCACAGCUUCCUGAAUGGUCUCCAGCUCCCACACUUCAAGCAAGAGGAUAAGUAAAGUUCUAACAGUGUGCUGGGGGACAGCCCUUACCACCACCACAGCCCGCCAGCCCACCCCCGCCAGGCCUGGAGCUCUUCAGCAGGAGUGGGGAAUAGCCAUUCUGAUUAAAAGUGACAGCCAGACCUCUGCAAGAUGUCAACAAGGACCCUCCAACAACUAGUAAUAAAGGAACACAUUCAUUUACUAA
rnacentral:lncRNA from 1 species